rnacentral:rRNA from 1 species
AUUGAACGCUGGCGGCAGGCCUAACACAUGCAAGUCGCACGAGUGGCGGACGGGUGAGUAAUGUCUGGGAAACUGCCUGAUGGAGGGGGCUAACUACUGGAAACGGUAGCUAAUACCGCAUACCAUCAGAUGUGCCCAGCUGGGAUUAGCUUGUUGGUGGGGUAACGGCUCACCAAGGCGACGAUCCCUAGCUGGUCUGAGAGGAUGACCAGCAACAAUGGAACGGAGACACGGUCCAGACGCCGACGGGAGGAAGCAGUGGGGAAGAUUGCACAAUGGGAGCAAGCCUGAGACAGCCAUGCGGGGUGUAUGAAGAAGGCCUGCGGGUUGUAAAGUACUUUCAGCGGGGAGGCGUUACCCGCAGAAGAAGCACCGGCUAACUCCGUGCCAGCAGCCGCGGUAAUAC